rnacentral:rRNA from 1 species
UACGUAGGUGGCGAGCGUUGUCCGGAAUUACUGGGUGUAAAGCGCGUGUAGGCGGGAGGCCAAGUUUGCGGUGAAAUCGCUCGGCUCAACUGGGCGGGGUCCGUGGAAACUGGUCACCUGGAGGACGGUAGAGGCGAGUGGAAUUCCCGGUGUAGUGGUGAAAUGCGUAGAGAUCGGGAGGAACACCAGUGGCGAAGGCGGCUCGCUGGGCCGGACCUGACGCUGAGACGCGAAAGCGUGGGGAGCGAACAGG